rnacentral:misc_RNA from 1 species
GAUGAAGAACGUAGUGAAAUGCGAUAAGUAAUGUGAAUUGCAGAAUUCAGUGAAUCAUCGAAUCUUUGAACGCACAUUGCGCCCCCUGGUAUUCCGGGGGGCAUGCCUGUCCGAGCGUCAUUACAACCCUCAAGCUCAGCUUGGUGUUGGGCCCCGCCGCCCCGGCGGGCCCUAAAGUCAGUGGCGGUGCCGUCCGGCUCCGAGCGUAGUAAUUCUUCUCGCUCUGGAAGUCCGGUCGUGUGCUCGCCAGCAACCCCCAAUUUUUUCCAGGUUGACCUCGGAUCAGGUAGGGAUACCCGCUGAACUUAAGCAUAUCAAUAAGCGGAGGA